GAUAGUGCAAAUGAAGCAGGCGGUUCCAUGGUUAGCACGCUGGACUUUGAAUCCAGUGAUCCGAGUUCAAAUCUCGGUGGAACCU